rnacentral:rRNA from 1 species
GAUGAACGCUGGCGGCGUGCCUAAUACAUGCAAGUCGAGCGAACAGACCAGGAGCUUGCUCCUCUGACUUUAUCGGCGGACGGGUUAUUAACACGUGGAUAACCUACCUAUAAGACUUUUAUAACUUCGGGAAACCGGAGCUAAUACCGGAUAACAUGUUGCCCCGCAUGGUUCAACAGUGAAAGACGGUCUUUCUUUCACUUAUAGAUGGAUCAGCGCCGCAUUAGCUAGUUGUUAAGGUAACGGAUUACCAAGGCAACGAUGCGUAGCCGACCUGAGAGGGCGAUCGGCAACACGGGAGAGAAGACACGGUCCAGAAUCGGACGGGAGACAGGAGCAGGGAAUCUACGGCAAGGGGCGGAAGGGUAAAGGAGAAACGCGGCGAGAGUGAAGAAGAUCUUCGGAGCGUAAAACUCUGUUAUUAGGGAAGAACAAAUGUGUAUGUAACGAUGCACGAAUGAACGGUACGGAAUCAGAAAGCCAGGGCUAACUACGU